rnacentral:rRNA from 1 species
UACAGAGGGUGCAAGCGUUGUUCGGAAUUAUUGGGCGUAAAGCGCGUGUAGGCGGCUUGGUAAGUCGGGUGUGAAAUCCCUCAGCUCAACUGAGGAAGUGCGCCCGAAACUGCUUUGCUUGAGUGCCGGAGAGGAUGGCGGAAUUCCCCAAGUAGAGGUGAAAUUCGUAGAUAUGGGGAGGAACACCGGUGGCGAAGGCGGCCAUCUGGACGGUAACUGACGCUGA